AGAUUUGAACCUGUAUGUUUUCAGGGCAGGAGAAUUUGACAUGGGGAAAUCUACCAUGAGGCUUCUCUGUACUUCACUUUCUCUUACCAUGGUUUGCUGGCUAGCUGAAGGUACCUUGUCAAAAACAGAUGCAAAGAAAGGUGCUACAAAAAAAAUGGAAGAAAAGAUGCUGCAUUCUGAUAAAAAUGUGCAGGACCGAGGACUGGUAGUUGUGGAUCCAAAGGCAAAGGAUAUUAUAGUGGAACACAGAAGUUACUGCUCCAAGAAGAUGAAGGAAAGACAUUUCUCAGGAGAUGUUUUGGGAUAUGUUACUCCUUGGAACAGCCAUGGCUAUGACAUUGCUAAAAUAUUUGGAAACAAAUUUACACUAAUCUCACCAGUCUGGUUACAAGUGAAAAGAAGAGGAAAGGAAAGGUUCCAGUUCACUGGGCUCCACGAUGCUGAUAAAGACUGGAUGAAAGAUGUCAGAAAGAACUCCAAAACCAUCAGAAUAGUGCCUCGAAUUUUGUUUGAUGGAUGGACUUACCAGGACUUUGAGAGUAUUUUUGGCAGUGAAGAUGAGAUAGAAGAGCUUUCCAAGAACAUGGUUCUGCUAGCCAAGAAUGAAAAUUUUGAUGGUUUUGUAGUUGAAGUUUGGAGUCAGCUGGGAAAUCAGAAGCAAACGGAGUUGAUUCACUUGCUCAUUCACCUUUCUGAAGCUCUGCAUGAAGCACAACUCAAACUCAUACUGGUCAUCCCUCCUGCAGUUGCAGCAGGGACCCUCUUGAAAGGGAAUGAAAGAAACCAAAGUGUUUCUCACAGGACUAACCAGCCAGGAAUGUUCACAAAGAAAGAAUUUGAUCAGUUGGCCUCUGCAAUAGACAGCUUCAGUCUCAUGACAUACGACUAUUCGACACCACAACGACCUGGUCCAAAUUCCCCUCUUCCCUGGGUACGAGCCUGUGUUCAAGUACUGGAUCCUGAUUCAAAAUGGAGAAAUAAAAUACUUCUAGGUCUGAAUUUCUAUGGCAUGGACUAUUCUGCUUUGGGAGCCUCUGGGCAGCCAAUCCUUGGUAGCAGAUUCACAAUGGGUCAUAAAGCAGCAGAGACAACUCGCAACAUCAACAAUGCAUUUGGCCCAGGAACUGCUGAUGAAUGUCAGUGGUGGUUCAAGAAAUUUCACGAAGGAGACAAGAGCCUUGGAGAUGAGGAGUGUAGUGGCGGCCAUCAGAAGUUCACAGCAACCAGUUGAGAGUAAUCAUUGAAGCUGAUCCUCUUGCAACUAUGUGAGAAGUUGAUGAAGAACUCAACGUCAACCAUUCUGUGGUCAUUUUGCAUUUCAAGCAAAUUGGAAAAAAAAGUGGGUACCUCACGAGCUGACUGAAAAUGAAAAAAAAAUUGUCAUUUUGAAGUGUCAUCUUCUCUUAUACUACAGAGCAACAAUGAACUAUUUCUUUUUUGGAUUGUGACGUGCAACAAAAAGUGGAUUUUAUAUGACUACCAGUGACGACCAACUCAAUGGUUGUACCAAGAAGAAGCUCCAAAGCAUUUCACAAAGGCAAACUUGCACCAAAAAAAGGUUAUGGUCACUGUUUUGGUGGUCUGCUGCUGGUCUGAUCCACUCCAGCUUUCUGAAUCCUGGAGAAACCAUUACAUCUGAGAAGUCUGCUCAGCAGAUUGAUGAGAUGCACCAAAAACUGCAACACCUGCAACCAGCAUUGGUCAACAGAAAGGGCCCAAUUCUUCUCCACAACAGCACCCAACCGCAUGUCACACAACCAAUGCUUCAAAGGUUGAACGAAUUGAGCUACGAAGUUUUGCCUCAUCCACCUUAUUCACCUGACCUCUUGCCAACUGACUACCACUUCUUCAAGCAUCUCGACAACUUUUUGCAGGGAAAAUGCUUCCACAACCAGCAGGAUGCAGAAAAUGCUUUCCAAGAGUUCAUCAAAUCCCAAAGCAUGGAUUUUCACACUGCAGGAAUAAACAAACUUAAUUCUUGUUGACAAAAACAUGUUGAUUGAAAUGGUUCCUAUUUUGAUUAAUAAAUAUGUGUUUAAGCCUAGUUACAAUGAUUUAAAAUUCAUGGUCCAAAACCGCAAUUAUUUUUGCACCAACCUAAUAGCAUGCAAGGGUAUUGCAAAGCUGGUGGCAGCGAUGUUGCACAAAGAUUCAGUGGUGAUGGUGCUGUCCUAAUAAGUAGCACAUCAAGGCUUUCUAAAGUGGAAAGGGAUUUCAGUAAUGUCAAAGUUAAGUGCCUGACAAAUAAAAGUGUUUGGGGCACAGGUAAUAACUGGUAUAAUGUAACUUCAUCUCUUACCAAGUGUACUGAGCCUCUUUGAUUGAUAAAUUGAAAAAUACCAGCUUGACUGUUUUCAGUUAAAUGAAAGUGUAGUUUUGCAUUUAAAAAAGGAAACAAGCAAACAAAAACCCCGAAACUGUUGUAGUGCUACAGACUAAAAAAUACUGAUUCAGACUUGUUGAUUCAUGUGAGGUUGGCUGAUUUCAUGAACAGAUCAUGCAAGUUUAGCUGCCUUUUAGAUCAAGGUGAUUAGAUGAUUUGUGAGGCUGUAUAAUAAACUUCUGGGUAAUCUGGAGGUUUAUACAGUGACUGAAUUAACUUUUUAAAAUAUAUACACAUUUUAUGUUGAUAGCCAUAACAGUGAUCUUUCUCACACUGUAAUAUUUUACAAUUAGUUACUAUUUAGCACCCAAAUAUCAUACCUUGAACUUUCAUUCUAGGUGCUACUAGACUGAUACAUGGAGAAUUUUCUGUAACAUGCUGACAAAAUCAGUAUUGAUUGUCUCUGUAUUCAGUUUUUUUAUUUCACUAACGUUUCUAACUAAAUAGAUCUGAAAUCUACUAUCAUGACUAAAAGGACUCUUCACAAGAGGUUGAAUGAAUUCUAUUUCCUGGGCUCAGUUUGUCAUGAUGUUGAGAAGUUGUAAAGGUGCCAGUGAGGUUAAUGAUUAUCUUAAGUAGCAUGAUAAGCAUUUUAUAGGAAGAACAUUGUCAGUCACACAGUGUGUAGCACUUUAUUUAUUCUUCACUAGAUGAAGAUUGGUACUAUUAAGUAAUUUCUUGUAUCAGGAGCUAAUAGCAAAAAAAGUUAUUCCAAAACACAUGGAUUCUUCCUCUUGCCUAGUUGUAUUGAAUGCAGGGUUACUUUUUGUACCAGCCAACAGUGCUAUAUGCGUUAAAUUUGAGACAUACUAUUUCCAGUUUCAGAUAGUCACUGGGAAGAGCUGCUUAUAAUGGGUCAAGUUCUUGAUAAAAGACUGUAUGAACAGCCAGCUUGUGUGUGAAACAGCUAUAUAUUUUUAGGUGAGAACUAUCAGUCAAUCAGUCAAAACAAAAUCUUGAUGCAUUUGAUUGCAUAUUCAUACUGGCUUGUGAUUUUGUUCAUGGUUGGACUUGAUGAUCCUGAGGGUCUCUUCCAAUCGAAACGAUUCUGUGAUCCUAUGAAUCCUGUUACACCUUGCAGUUCUUUGCAUUAAAAGAAAAUGGUAGCCUUUUAAAACCUACAGUGAUAUGAAAAGUUUUCUUAAUCAGCCCAGCUGGACUUACUCAGUACUCUGCAGACAGUCUGUCAUUAACCAACAUGUAGGGUUUAUUGAAGUACAACUGAAAACAUAAAGCAUAAACCCAGUACUCACAUCUUCAUCUGGUAUUAACAGAUAGUAUUAGAAGAAGUUCAGUAUGUUUUUUUUGUAAGACUUGCUGACUGCUACUUUAGAAUAAAAUUUUCUCUGCCUGAUUUCCUACUUGGCAAAACUUGCUCUUAAGAAAUUUGACUUAAAAGUUGAAGUUUGACAAAACCAUGAUUCUGAAGCAUAUCAUAAGGCUGGCUGUUCUGUCUCAAGAUGCCACUUGUGAGGAUCCUUGGUUUUAGGUUUCUGUUUCCUGAUAGAAGGUAUUGGAAAUCACAAAGCUCUAAGAGUUUUUCCCCUAAAAGCACAGGUGAUAGACUGCAUUGUAACCCGCAGAGUCAGUGGCUGCAUGCUCUGCUCUGAGCUUAUCCAUAGCCUUGGUUGCAUUGCAGGCAUAUCCUCUUUACUCUGUCUUAGAAUAAAAAUCUUUCAGUGGAAUUUAUGUAUUUUUCUUAAUUUUUGUUCUCUUUCAGAUUUUACCACAAAGCAAAUAGAUAUUUUCUGAAUAUGGCCUUGUUGUAUAGCUGUACAUCUUCUGUGACCUAUUCUUUGGCAUAAUGAAUGCUCUGUUGACCAUCAUAUUGCUUAAGAAUUUAUUUAUGAUUUGCAUCCUAGUACUGAUGAGCUGAGACUCAAUUUUUUUUAAAUCUUUGCAUAUCUGUGAAUAUCCAGAACACUUAUAAGACAUGGAAACACAGCACAAAGAGGAAAGAAGUUUCAAGAUACAGAAUCAUAGAAAGUCCUGAGUUGAAAGGGACCCACAGAAAUCACUGAGUCCUACUCCUGUCCCUGCACAUGACAACCCCUCAGUUCACACCAUGUGUCUGAAGGCGUUGUUCAAUUGCUUCAUGAAUACUGCCAGGCUUGGGGCCGUGACAUCUCCCUGGGGAGCCCGUUCCAGUGCUCCACUCCCCUCUGAGUGAAGAACCUUUUCUUGAUGUCCAACCUAAACCUCUCCUGGCACAUCUUCCUGCCAUUCCCUUGGGUUCUGUCAUUGGUCGCCAGAGAAAAGAGAUCGGCACCUUACCUUUCCUCCUCCCCUUGUGAGGAAGUUUUAGGCCGCAAUGGGGUCUCCCCUCAUUCUCCUUUUCUCCAGGCUGAACAAAUGAAGUGACUGAUAUGGCUUCUCCUCCAAAACCUUCACCAACUUUGUAGCCCUCUUCUGGACACUCUCCAGUAGCUUUUAUAUAUGUUUGAUCUUAAUAUUUAUUGUGUAUACUGAUUCAAAUUCUCUUGCGCAACAUAUUUAUUUUUAGUUAUUUUUGCUGGAUAGUACAGAAGAUAUUGGUUGUCUAGAAUAACACAAAAGCUGUCAAAAAGUGGCCCAUGACAUUGGCGCUAUUCAUGGAAGGAAUUAGAUAUAGCCAUUGUCACAGCUUCUAGGAGCUUCAAGAGUUUCUGUUUAUCUAAAUAUGGAACUGAGAUCUAGGCAUGUGAAUUCACUCAAAUCUCAGAGAGGCAGAACUAUAGAGACUAUUCUGUUUCUGGUUUCUGAUACAUUGUAUCCGUGCAGAAUUAGUAUGGUAACGAUCUUUGUAAAUUUGUCCACAGUACUGAUGGAAUUCUGUGAAAUGAUGAGAAAAUAAGUGAGAGUGUAAGAGGGUCUGGAGUAGAAGCAGCAGCUCAGCACUGAGAAAUGAAUCUUUCUUUUUGUCUACAACUGACAGUACUAAUCAUAUUUCUAAUUAUUAGAUAUUUUCUUCUCUUGCCUUUCUAUCUAAGUUGGCUCAAAAAAUGCCUUUUUGAAGGGUAAGAAGUACUGGAAUACUACUGAAAAUUGAAUACUUAUGUUUAUUUGUAGAGAUGAUCUAAAGUAUUAUGUGUAAGACUCUAAAACAGUAAUAUGAAUUGCAGUUGACCUAGGUUUUUGUGACCUGAUAAGCUCAUACUGGCUUGCGUACCAUAAACUAUUGUUCUGUGUGAUUACCCUGUUAAACUGUUGUUAAAAUUCUUUGUUACUUCAUUCUUUAUUCAGAAGACUGUAGACUUAAGUAGCUUAAGAUACAUGUCAUGUACUUGUAAUGCAUUAAUUCACUUUCAGCAUCGGUCAAUGCUUAAUGUGUAAUUAGCAAGCAGAUUUAACAAUCUGCUAGGACAAUACUUCCCAUUGCGUAACUAUUGUGCUCAUAUCUCACAAAAUCCAGGGCAGAAGGAAGCCACAAGAGAAAGAUUGUCAUAUCUGCACUGUUGUUCAACAAGCAAAUAUAAUGUGUUGCUGGAUUUCAGGGCAGAAUAUUUGUGCAUCAUAUCAAUAUCAAGUUGAUAUUGGAAGGCAAAGUAAAACAGAAUAUGGUAUAUAUAAGACUGGCUUUAGAAUUUGAAUGCCAGGAAUGUGGAGCUGUGCUACAUAAGGGACAUACAGUUGUAAAAUGAACCUUAGAUGAUCUAUAGAAAUAACUGAAAUUAGAACCCUCUUUUAUGUGUGUCUCUAUUUAGCUCUUUUACAACACCCUUCAGCAGCAGGAAAAUUGGAAAGUCUGGAGAGACUUGUUGCUAGAACAUCCCCUGUCCCUUUAUCCAGCUUUUGUACAUUUAUAAGUAAAUUCACAGGCAUAACAAAGUGUUCUCAGCUGUUGUGCUACUGCUCUUUACUCAAAACAUUUAAAGAGGAGUAUUGUAGAAAUACCUACUUCAGAGCAGUGCUGAGGGCUUAAUCUAUUCAGGCAUGUAGUGUUUUAGUAUCUACAGAAGGAAUAGAUGAAUGAAUAAAUAAAUAUUCUAUUCAUUUACUUCUUAGGAAUUUCUGCAAGUAUAACCCUGUUUCAGAAGAAUACUUGGCCUGUGCACUUAGAAUCAUAUAUGUUGGAAAAGACCCAUAAGAUCAUUGACUCCAACUAUUAACCUAACACUGCCAAGUCCACCACUAAACCAUGACCCUAAGGGCCUCAUCUAUACAUCUUUUAAACACCUCCAGGGAUGGCAAUUCCACCACUUCCUUCGGCAGCCUGUUCCAAUGUUUGAGAAUCCUUUGGUGAAGUAUUUUUUCCUAAUACCCAAUGUAAAGCUCCCAUGGAACAACUUGAAGCCAUUUCCGCUCAUCCUAGUACUCGUUACUUGGGAAAAGAAACCAACACCCUCCAUGCUACAACCUCCUUUCAGGCAGUUGUAGACAGCGAUAAGGUCUCCCCUCAGCCUCCUUUUCUCCAGACUAAACAGCCCCAGUUCCCUCAGCUGCUCCUCAUAAGACUUGUGCUCCAGACCCCUCACCAGCUUCAUUGCUCUUCUCAGAACUCUCUUCAGCACCUCAAUGUCUUUCCUGUAGUGAGGGGCCCAAAACUGAACACAGUAUUCAAGGUGGGACCUCACCAGUGCUGAGUACAAGAGGAUGAUUGUUUCUGUUGUCCUGCUGGCCACGCUAUUCUUGGUACAAGCCAGGAUGCUGGUGGCCUUUUUGGCAACCUGGGCACACUGCUGGCUCAUACUCAGCUGGCUGUCAAUCAACACCCCCAGAUCCUUUUUGGCCAGGCAGCUUUCCAGCCACUCUUCCCUGAGCCUAUCACACUGCCUGGGGUUGUUGUGACCCAAGUGCAGGACCCGGCACUAGGCCUUGUUAAACCUCAUGCAGUUUGCCUCAGCCCAACCAUCCAGCUGGUCCAAAUCCCUCUAUAUGGCCUUCCUACCCUCCAGCAGAUCAACGCUCCCACCUGACUUGGUAUCAUCUGCAAACUUACUAAGGGUGCACUCAAUCCCUUAGUCCAGAUCAUUGACAAAGAUAUUGAACAGAACUGGCCCCAGUACUGAGCCCUAGGGAACAUGACUUGUGACUGGCUGCCAACUGGAUUUGGCUCGGUUCACCACAACUCUUGGGCCUGGCCAUCCAGCCAGUUCUUUACCCAGUGAAGAGUAUGUCUGUCCAAGCCAUGAGCUGCUAGUUUCUCCAGGAGAAUGCUGUGGAGAAUGGUGUCAAAGACUUCACAGAAGUCCAGGUAGACAACAUCCACAGUCUUUCCCUCGUGGACUAAGAAGGUCACCUUGUAAUAGAAAGAGAUCAGGUUAGUCAAGCAGGACCUGCAUUUUCAUAAACCCAUACUGAUGGGGAUCGUUCACCUGGUUAUCCUGUAAAGUGCCAUGUGAUGUCACUCAGGAUGAUCUGCCUCAUGAUCUUCACUGGCACUGAGGUCAGACUGACAGGCCUGUAAUUCCCCAGAUCCUCCUUCUGGCCCUUCUUGUAGAUGGGUUUCACAUUUGCUAACCUCUAGUCAACUGAGACCUCUCCAGUUAGCCAAGAUUGCUGAUAAAUGACAGAAAAUGGCUUGAUGAGCACUUCCACCAGCUUCUUUGUCUCCUUGGAUGGAUCGCAUCUGGCCUCAUAGACUUGUGUGUGUCUAAGUGGUGUAGCAGAUCACCAGCCUUUUCCCCUUGGAUAAUUAUGGCUUCAUUCUCCUCCCUGUCUCUGUCUUUCAGCUCAAGGGCUGGCUCUUCCCUGGUGAAAGACUGGGCACUGCCAUCCAGAACACAUAUUGAGAAGGUAGCUGUACUUGGUUAGUGUAGGUUUGAAACCAAAAUAUAUGCAGUAUUCAACAGAUUCUAACAAGCAAAAUCUUGAUCAUAUUCCUUACGUGUAUUGUCUUUCUGGGUUGCUCUCAGAACAGUGGAGGAUUUGAUACUCUCAUAUGGACAUCUGCAGUACAGCAUGGCAGUCAGCUGCUCAUAUGCAAUAGAUAAGAUCUGUUUUGUGAGCAAAAAAUACACUGUUGAUGUAUUUGAACACAAUUUUCAUAUUAAAAGCAAUUAGAGUAAUUUAUGGAGAAAACGAAAAGUUUCUGCACAUCAAACAUGAUCAUUUUGUCUCUUGGAAUGAAACUCAAAUAAAGCGACAUAAUAUCUAAUAAUAAUUGUGAAAUAUCAUCAUUAUUUUAAUUCCAGCUGGCCAAAUGUGUGGUUUCUCGAUAUUUUUCGGUGCAAAUACUUGCUGAGCCAUGUGAGGUUGUGAAACAGCUGCAACAAAGGCUCGAACAAAGAUACUGUAGUAAUCCCUAGUCACUGGCUUUCUGAGUUCACUACUUAUCAAAACAAGACACUUGAAAGGCUUUUAAUUUUUUAAUUUUCCCUACGUUUUGAACAUUCUUCUGACUCCAGCUGUAACCUAAUCUAGUUUUUCUUAUGGCACCUGUUAAGAAGUAAAAACUGCUGCAUUAUCAGAGAGUAAAAAAUGGCAAUAAGAGUCUCCUGUAAAAGGAAUAUCAGACAGGUGGUGCUCAGUAGAUGCUACUAUAUACACAGGAAGAAUCACAAGCUCACUGACAGCAGCAGCUGUAGCAGUUAGCCAAUUAAACAGUUUUUAUUGAUGAUCCGUGAUAGCUAAUAAACUUUUAACAAGCUAUAAAACACCCCAUGGAUCAAUCUUGUUAUUAAAAGGCUGGAUCAUAACCAGUACUUAUUAAUUCCAACUAACAUUAUUGUUUGGAAAUGGAAGGACUGAGUGGACUGUAUGCCAAAUGUAAGAGUGGAGACAUCAUUCCAAAUAAAUCCUGGUAGUUUAGGGAAUAUUUCUAAUUUACUUUAGCAGAUAAAGCAAUCAGUUUGAAAAUCAGGGCUUGGGGUCAUCUUUUUAGCUUUCCAUGUCAGUAAACCAAGGAUGAAACUUUCAGCUGUGGAGUCAUAGCACAAUCACAGAAAAGUUGAUGAAGAAAACCAAGAAGGUUUGAGGGGAUUGGGAGGUGUUAUCUAUAAUUCCAUAUGACACAAAACAAUCUUUAGGGGAAACACCAUUCAAAAACACAAGGCUUAAGUAACUUUGGUAACUACUUGUCUGGUACUAUGUCUGAUUGGCUUAAUGUUAUUUUUCUGAACCAAAAUGAUUAUUUAAUAUUACACACUGGCUGGUGGGGUUUGGUUGGUUGGUUGGGUUUGGUUUUUUGUUUUGUUUUAGUUGGUUGGUUGUUUUUUUAGGAUAAAUAAAAGACUUAUAGAGAGAUAUUUAAAAAUUAGGAAGUUGUAGGAAGUAAAAUGUUGACAGAUAAGAUACUGCUUAAAGUUUAAAAAUACCAUAUGUAUAAAGAACUCAAAAAGUAUUUAAUCAGUCUUAGUUUUAUAGGCUAAAUUCACAGGGAUCCCUAAAAUUCCGUAUGGGUGACUGAUACAAAGUGUAACUGUGAAUUCUUGAGAAGUUCUUGCCUAAUUUCCAAACAGUCUCAAAAUUAAUAAUUUACAUUUUUAAAAUUUCUGGUGUCACAUUUACUCGUGGUUAGUCCAGCACUGUUACUUCAGUGAUACCAUUACAGAAAUGUCAGUUCAGCUAAAAAUCAGGUUGUUUUUCAGGGCAGUUGCCAUGAUCCAUGUGUGUGCAUAUAUGUACAUCCACUUAUGUGCUUAAGAAUGGAAAAUAACUUUUCAUAGUUUAUGUCCUCUUUUUAGCCCUAUGCAUGAAAAGCACUUGCCUGAAGGUAACAUAAACCCCAUACAUUAAGAGUUCAAACAUUAGAUUCUUGCACAAAAAUGUAGGCUUCGUAUGUAAUGUAUGAUGCCUCUAAUAUAGACAUUUUUCAUGUCCUGGAGGAUUUUUCUUUGUCUUCCUCAUUGGUGCAGCAUUCUAAUGAAAAUUUUCUGCACUUAAACUGACAGUCUCUGAGUAUUUUUGUAAAUGUUUGCUUGAAGACUUUACAAAUAUUUAUUACAGUCUGCAAAUGUUUGGAUUUGGCACUAAAAAUAUUUGUAGGUAUAGCUACCAGAGGAAACACUCCAGGUUAAAGUAUGUGAAAGACACUGUUACAUAUAAAACACCUCACUAGAUAAGAAAUACUGCUACAAGAAAAGAAUCACACCAUUAUGACUGUUCCAGCAAAAACUUCACUUAGGCUAGAGUUGAGAGUUGUUGCUAGAAAUUACAUCUGAUUUCUUGGCAGUGAGUUAAUUAAAUGUAUAAAUAAUAAAUAAAAGCCACUCUAUUAGUAAAAGUUUGGGGUGAAAGCUGUUGCUACAACAACUUAAGACUUACCUGCAGGAUGAAUAGAAUCAAUACAGAGAUUGUAAGUAAACCAAUUAAGUAUUGGCUUCUGUUUGCUUCAGUGGCUCUUUCUUAUUCUGGAGUCACAGCCUAAAUUCAAAACAGUGAAGUAUGUAAAAUUAUACUUGGUGAUAAUUAUGGUUCCUUCUACUGUGCAAUCAAAUACACAAACCUUUUUGUGUGAGCCGUAACCAAAUCUUUUAUCUGGUGCGUGUGGUCCAAGUAAUGCUGGAAUUAGUGACUAGAUGUAGUAAAAGAAAUAUACAUCUGUAAUAGCCUGUUCCUAUGAAACAGAAUAAGUACACAGGUAAGUUCUCCAGAAGAGCUCACCCAACUCUCUGAAGUAAGUUUAGAUGUUUAUUUUCCACUUGCAGCCGUUCUAGUUAAUGUAAUUAAUGCUUUUAAUGCGGUGAGGUUUCCGCAGGGAUUUCAGAGGAAAAAUGUGUUUCUACAGUGGGGACUUACCUAGGAAACUCUUGCAGGAACUGGAAACAAAAGGUCUGGGGAAGCAAUGGCAGCGGUGGCACAAGUACCACUUGGUUCUGUUGCUGCAAAUGCUGGUUUUGAAGUUCAUUGUCAUACUUGUGCCCAUACCUUUGCUGGGUCUCGCUUGGUUAGUAAUAGGGAUGUCAUUCUCCUUGCCUUCCUGAUAGUUUUCUUUGGGGCAAAUCCUUGUUUCUUCCCCAGUAAUGGACUGUACCUUGCAACUGGCUUCUUAAAAUUCCCAGACGAGCAUGGAUUCUGCAAAUUCACUGUUAACACACACUGUCCCUGAGCUCCUGUUGUACAGUUUCAUUUUACCAUUUGUCUUAUCAGAUGUUUGUGUUACUUACAGGAAAAACAAACAAGUCAAGACAUACUGGGACUUGCUAAUGGGUCCAAGAAAGCAAACAAUCUUCUCUUUAGCUAGAAAAAGAAACGUACAGAGGGCAAAAUAAAAUAUGCUGUCUUAUUUUUUAUGGUUUUACUUUCCUCAUUAAGUGUUAUUUGAAGUAAACAUCAGAGCCUCUAAGAGUUCAUUAUUCCCCUCCUGCAUAUAGUUUUUAUUCUUCUGCUUAGAAAAAAAAAUGUUGAUUUGCUAUUUUCUCCCCAAAGAGCCAUUAUGUAACUGCUCCUUUUGUAAUCCCUUGUCUCUUUUCAUAUCUCUUUCUCAGGCAGCCUUGUCUAAGGAUCAGAGUUCAUUUGCCUAUUUAGAGCCUGUUAGAAUUUAAACAUGAAGUGAGUUCUGUCUUGUGUAGCAAGCCCUCUCCAAGGUUGCUCCCUCUGAAUAGCUGGUCAGUAUGUGAUGCUUUAUUGCAUCUGACCUGUGAGACCAGAUGUCACUCUGAUGGAGAACUGCAGAGUGUGUGUGCCCUGAGGCGACAUUUUCAUAACCUUAAGAAAAAUUCAUAACUUAGUGACAUACUCUUAGUUGUCAGAGGUAGUUGAUAGAAAUGCGUCUUGAAAAAAUGAAAUUUGAAAGAUUUAUUGAGGGUUAUGUUCUAUGACCGGUACUGCAGAAGUUAUGAGAAAAUGUUCUGAAAAGCUUAUUGUGAUGUUGCUUUUGGAUAGAACGUGGACAGAAUGGCAAUGUAAAGGCUUGUUAACACCAGUGAAAGCAAUGUUUUAUUUGGAAAGGGAUGGAAGUGAAAGAAACAUGUGAAGACAUGUCUUUAUUACUUUCACAAAAUGAAGUUUGUCAAUGCAAGGAUUCUGCAAUAUAUUUCUAUUUAAGCCUAUAAAUAUUGCACUUCAUUAUGAGCAGUGAGACUCCAUGCAUCAUAGCUUUACAUUGUUAUUAAACAGCAAAAAUGUGCUUACAAAGGCAAAAAAAAAGCUGGAUUGUCCAGCUUCUGGUUUUCAUUUGGAUUACAUUUGUAAAUACUUUUUCUCUACUUUGGAAAUCUUCAUUUUCUAUGUUUACAUAGUUAACUAUUUUAUUAUUCUUUUUACUUGCAUAAAAUGACAAGUGACUUCAAAACACAUGGAGAUUUUUUUACACUUCUGUAGAGAAAUGGAGAAAAUUGGUUGCAUUGAAAUAUUUCAGUUUUACAGAUAAACUAUGGGGUUUUAACAGAUAAACUAUUCUUUUUCCUAUUCUGUCUGCAUUGCACAAUCUGCACAAGUUAGAUAGGACUGAUGCAAAAAUUGUUUACUCUAGGGGAUGUUUAAGAUGUAGAAUGUUUAGAAUGGUAUUUACCUAAAAUAUUAGGAGGAGGAGUGAUGAAAAUUAUGCUUUUAACUAGCAAAGCUUUAUACUGAUAAAACCCUAUGUUAUGGUUUAACCUGAGCUAGCAAUCAAAACCAUAAUAGCUCCUCAUUCACUCCCAUCCACCCAGCCCCAAAUAGGGGAGACAAAAGUGAAGGGUGAAAUUUGUGGUUUGAGAUAAACACAGUUUAAUAAAAUAAUGGUAAUAUACCACCCCUACUAAUAAGAUACAUAAAAUGGAAAAUAGAAUCUAAAGUAAAAGAUACUCAGUGCAAUUCCUCACAAACUCCAUCCACACCAAGCAGCCAGUCCCAGGAAGAGAGAACGCUGGUCCAGAACAGCUGAUCCUGGAGGAAGAGGGAAAAAGGCAGAAAGGCCCAGAGGCCUCUGCAAAACAGCAGGAUGGCAAAUGCCGAACUAAAAGAACUCCUGAACAGAACUCCACCGAAAUGGAGCAGAACCAGAACAGGUCUCCACUCCCUAGCUGGAAAAACUACUCUCCUUAAAUACAAAGCUAAUAGCAUGGAGUAUUCUUGUUGAUCAUUCUGGAUGUAAGUCAAGGUCUGCCCCAUCUAUGCCCCGCUCCCAGCUGCCUCACACCUGGAGGCAGCGAUCUCAGAAAGACCUUGGCUCUCAGACAACAACUAAGAUAACAGUAAGUUCUUAUAUUCUCUUUGUUCCAACUCAAAGACAGAGGAAAGUCACUUGAAGAAAAACAUAUAACUCUGUCCCAGGGUGUUAUCUUCUUGUUCUCAAACUGAAUCCAAACAACAACCACAUUAACUAAAGAAAAAGAAAAUUUUUUAACUGCAUGAAGAAAAUUAAGCUGCUUUCAGUCAAACCAGCACACCCUACUGCAGUUUCUUUUUGCCUAUUUUACUUAUUCUAAUUGAGUAAAUUAUUUAGGCACUGCCAAUAAAAACUGUGUCAGUCCUGAAGGUGUGUUUUCAUUUUGUAGGGAUGACCAAGUGGGGUUAAAUCGUGACAAGCUGGUUGCUUUGAGCAUUUAAAUGUGUACCACUUGACAGAUUAGCCUGGUCUUCUUGACAGGGAAAACACUUCUAAUAUUUUAUGGUUUUGUGUCUCAUCCAGAAAUGUGGCUGGCAUUAGCAAUUAGAGUAAGCUGGAACUUUGUGGGAUUGUACAUUUACAGGAAGGCCAGGAUUAUUCUAUGCUGUAGCCCCAAAGUGGCUAGAGUGGCAAGAGAUAUUUGUGCUUGAUCUCUGAAGUGUUCGUUAUUUAUGGAUUUUUUAUUAUUUUCAUUUCAAAAGUAAAGAAUACCCAUCUUUCAGUCUCUCUUGCAAGUUUCCAGAAUUUGGGUCACUCUAGAUGUCUUUUUUGAAUCCUCAGAUUUCACAGCAGCAUCUUAAGGGUGAUCACUCACACUCAUGAUCUUGCACUUGUAAAAUCUCUGGAGCAUAUUGCAAUGAAGUUACAACCAUGAUGUUCCACCAUAGUAGCAUCCUACUACUGCCAACAGUUGUGAUACUGGGUUGGUUAAAUAAAAUUCUAGUAUGUUACAAUUAUGUUAUUCAAAAGAUGUUUGGAGUUUUGCAAAUAAUUUGUUUGUUGCUGCUCUAUCACACCAAUUGGAAAAUAAUUUUGAUGUUACUGUUUCUUUUUAGUAAAGAAGUUAAAAUCUUUGUAACAGACCUAUUUAUAUAUUAACAGACAUUCCACUGGCACUGACUUUUUUAGAGUCAGUUUUUGGUGGUAACUGGUCUGUACUGAAAGUUCAUAGUGCUCACAGUGAGAGAAGUUAAAAAAAAUAGCAAACAAUUAGAAAAUGUAGCUCAUCUCUAUCUGUUAAAAGACUUUAAUUUGGAAAAAGAAAGAUAUUUCCAUGUUUAAUGACUAGUUAGUGUUACAGAACUCUCACAUAAAUGACAAAUCUUUUUAAGGUGUUUCUCAGCAUAUUUGUAUAGUGUAUGUUUCUAAAAAGAAAAUGUUCUACCCAAUUUCAAAACCCUUGAUCCUUUAAAUAUAUUGUACAAUUGAGUUGACAGAUGAUAUCAUUAAGAUGCCAGGUCUUCUGCAACUAAAAUUAAAAACCUGGUUCUAUUCCAAUGCUUUUCUAAAUACUGUAAAAUUAGUAUGCCUACUUUUGAGUUUGGUAUGUCUCCUGGCAAGGGUUAUGGACCAAAUCAGCACUUGUUGGAAUACAAUGCAGUGUCUCAUCUCCUCUUUUCUAAUUACUCCCCACCCUACAAACUUUUCUGGUGAUUGGCAGAUUCUGUUAUGUUCCCGCAUGGAGAUAAAACCAUGAAUAAUGGAACUGUGCCCCACACUUUUUCAUUUCCUGCAUGUCUUCCUCAUCUACUACAAUGGAACCUAUUUGCCCCAUGGAAAAACUACAUUGAAAUAGGUGUUCAGACUAAGACAGGUUUUACAGGUAAUACAAAUUAUUUCUGGUUCGAUAUUUAUUUCUCAGUUCAAGCGGAUGUGUAGCAAGGUCAUUUUUCUGGGUGAUAACAGCUUAUUCAGAACCAAUACUUCACUUUCCUCAUAGUUAUUGUUUUGUGUUUAUUUGCAUCAAAAUUUGGUUGCUAUUUUAUGGCCAUGUAAUUCAUUAGUGUGAACUUUUGCAGCUCAUUUCAGUCAAAUUUGGUUUUAGUUGGCUCUGAAUAUUUUCAUAUAAUCAGCAAAUUUUGCAUAGUCUUUUUUUUGCUCCUUUUUCAUAUUUUUAUGUAUAUAGAUUGAAUAGCAAAGGUCACAACACAGAUAUUUGUGAAAUGCAGCAGCUUACUUGCUUCUCUUGUAAAACCAGCCACUUACUAAUGCCAGAUAAAAAGUCCAUGUUUACUAAUUUGAUGAAAAAACCUUAUUCAGUGCAGAACUGUGGAUUCCUGUUAUCUUCUUUCCAUUUUGAGGGAGUUUGAAGUCAGAAAAAGCCAGGCUUCUGAGACAUCAGCUCUCCUCUCGUUUAGUGAUGUAUUAGUAUGCCCAAUUAUGACUUGCAGCCUGCCUUUCUGCUGCCGGUAGGAGAUACAUGCCUACAUCCUUCGGUCACACAGAUUAGUCUCCUCAUGCUAAAGUAGCUUUUGCCUUUCAGUUCUGUAAUUUCACGUGCUCACAAUUAAAUCUGCAUUCCAUCCUCUGCUCUCAUUUACUUGCUGACAGAAAAUGAAUAGCAGAAAAAUGUAGUCUGAUGGGCCCACGCAUUAUCGUUCUUUGUAAGUGACAGCACAUAUCCACUUGGGUGCUCAGAUCUUGCAAAAUGCUUAUGCAGCUCUUUCCUGUGUGGGGGCCAGGCUGAGAACCUUGCAGAAACACUGCCCACCAGGUGUAGCUUUGCCAUACUCUUUCUGUUGAUCCCUCUGUAGACUGCCCACCAACGUGUAACUGGCAGUGACUGGACAGCAUGCAGGUGCUUCCCAGGCAUUCCACUGCCAGCAAAAGCAGGUGACACAAGUGUUGAGUUUGAAACACCUUCAUUCCUUCUCAGGCUUAGGAUUGCAGAAGGGCAUGAAGACCAUCAGGCAAUCUGUGAAUUAAUGAAUUUUUUCAUGAGUGAAUAAUGCAUAAACCCAGCUCUUACUGCCAGCAACAAUCCAUGUUGUUUUGUAAUGAAAUAUGCAUUCCUUUUCUAUUUGAAAAAUGGAAAGUACAUUCAUUUUGUAGGUAGUGCAAAAUUUAUGAUUGUCUUAAUUAUUCAUUUCAAUGGGUUUUUUUAAGUUUUUAGGUAUAUUUAAGUGACAGGAUAGAUGGCCACACUGUCCCUUACCAACCCUUGAAAUAAAAUAUGGGAGAUUUGGAACUCUUAAGGCCUAAGCCUUCUCUUUUCCCAGACAUAUCACAUACAAGCUCUAGAGUCUGCAAGCCUGGUUGCACAAAGCAUUUGGACAUUUAAUUCUUACUGAAGUCUUCUAUAAUGAAGGAUCUUAACAGAAGUGAAACCUUUAAAAAUGUUUGAAGAUCUAUGCUUCACCUCCUAAAAGGCAGUGCACAAUGUUAGAGGAUCAGACCUAGCAUGCAAGUUUUUUGUUGCUGUGUCAUGUGCAAAUCAGUUAGAAGCAUUUAUAUUUCUCAGUCUUGUAUAUAUACACCUUUAUAGUCAGUAUUUUAUUUGUGUACUUCGAUGAUGAGGAUUUUUCAAAAAGAACAUUUAUAUUGGUAAUUGAUACGGUGGAACAGAAAUUUAGAUUUAGGAGAAACCAGUAAUAAAUCAUGUUUUAUCAGAUCUGGAUUGUUAUAUCCGAAUGAUAAACAAGAAUAGCUACAUACUGCUUCCAACUUUCUUUCAGGUCUCCUGUAUGAACUCAGCUCUGGGUCCUAUACAUUUGUUUUGUACCAUUUAUAUGCUUUAGAAGUUAUAUUUGUUGAUGACAUUCUAAACAGGACACUUGGAGAAAAUCUGUACUGACUACCAUUUUGAGUAAUCAGAAGGUGAAAUGGAGGCAUGUACGUUGCUUUUAAUUUGGCUUCAGGUUUUCCCAGAGAUAAAUCCUUCAAGUUUGUCUUUCAGAGACUCGUAUCUAAAUGUUUCAAUUUAAAAUACUUGAUAUUUUUGAUGGUCAGUUCUUCGGAGGCUGUGCACCCUGGUUUUGAAACACUCGAUUGCAAACCAAAGGAUACAGCUCUUUCAGCUUGCUGAGCUGUCCCUGCAGCAGCCUGGCACUGCUCUUUUUCCUAAAAUGAAUGGGCUUGACUAUGCAUGCACUUUAACAACCACUCGUUUGAGGCUUAUGCAUGAUGAUUACGGUUAUUUGCCUGAAAUAACUUAGCAAGACAUUUUGCUGGAUUUAGGGGCAUAAGACUGUACUUUAACUUUGUUACUUUGUUACUUUAACAAAGUUAUAUUGCUUUCUGAUUCCAAGUUGCAAACUGUGCACUUUUGGAGUUAGCAAGAUUCUUGGAGCCUGCUUGCACUCCUCCCUCUCCUGCAUUGGACUGCUCUCUGGGCUGCGAGACCCUAGACAGUUGUAGAUUUCUCUGCUCACUUAUUCCUGGACAGCUGAUUUGAUGACAUAAAGAAAUAUAAAACAAAAAUAUAUUUUUUUAUUUUUCUUUUUUUUUUUUAGUUAGUAAUGCUCCUCACUCAAUGUAUUGUCAUGGUAGAAAGGAAGCUGCCCAGUAUUUUGAUAUACAGAUAGUUAAAAUACAGCAAUUAAUGCUGUCACAGAGUAAGUAUUCAACACAGUGUAACCACUAGACUGCAAUGUGCCCUCCCAAGUAGUUUAUUAUUUCCCCUGAAAUCAUAUUUAAAUUCAACCAUAGUCCUGUCUGACACAUCAGUCUUAACAGGCCACACACUUUUCCAAGGCCCUCUUCUGCAUUUAACCUGCUUCAGACAGGGAGAAUUCCACAAAUUACUUAAUUCUCUUUGCUCACAUGCCUCACUGGGAUGGCCAGUGCCAGAAUAUCACUCAUCAGCAUUUUCUUUUAUGUACUUAAUGUUCUGUUAGUGAUUUAAAGCUGAGUUUGACAUUUAGUGCAUAAUGAAUGUCUCGGGGGACACUUUGAGGCUCUGUAAUGAGACUCUUGUUUUCCUGUUCUAUUUUGCUUCAUCUGGGAGGCUUGCUGAUGGUCAGAUUUCAUCCCCUUGUCCGUGAAAGUGUGCUAAACCAGACCCCUGUACUGUUCAACUCCAGCUGUGAAAGGUUUGAUCAACAACUGGUAGCUUUUUUUUACAUCGUCAUUUUAGAGAUUCUCUAGUUGGUUGUUUAUUUAAUGUCUUGAUCGCUUUUCCUCCUUCUCCUCAUAUACACAAUCUCCCUUGUCUCUCCUUGAUUACAGGCUAGUAUUACAAAUGUAAUGACCCUGGGUUUGUACUAUCCUUUUAUCUGUGUGUGUGUGUGUGUGUGUGUGUGUGGCGGGGGGGGGGCGUUUAAUAAUGUACAUUUUUUUCAAAAUUAACUAUGUGCAAAUUUAAGUUAAGAUAAUUCAGUCAGACUGUUUUCUAAUACAUGUUUGGUUUACUAAUGAUCUCAAUUUGGAGGUUCUUUCAGAGAUUUCCCAAGACAUGCUUAGUGAUCUGUGAUUUUUAGCAUAAAAAUAUUAUCAUUUUAAGCAUAAGGUUGAAAUGUCACACACAUUAUUGGAAGUAGAAAAUGUAUUUUCUUAGAACACUUUACAAAAAUCCUUAAGAGAUUUAGCAAAAUUCUUCUGGUAAAAAGAUAAAAUUUUACAGAAUAAUUUAGACUGUAGCUGGGGUUGUGAGAAUCAAACUUGAUUUUUUUGAAAAACGGACAGAAGAGAUAGAGGAGUGUGCCAUUACAACUACUUCUGUAUCCUGCCAUGUUUCGUUUGGGCUUUUUUUGUUUUUUCAGAAGACUCAGACUAAGCACCAACAAAUAGUGACUCACAUAAAUAACCAUUAGAUUUGUGGAUUUGCAGAGAUAAACAGGAGUUCUACAUUGAGCAAAAAUAUUUAACCAUCACAAAGAUAGAACGGGUGACUGAAAACUGCAGGAAUCUUAAGACCUCAGGAUAAAUUAAGGAAAAAUGCAUGAAAGCAAGCAUGUGUUAAGGUCCUUAUCAAAUUAAGUUAAUUUGCAGAAUUAAGUUAGUAACUAAUAAAUUUAGACCAAAUUAUUUCUAUCAAAAAAUGAAUAAACUUGAUUUUUAAAUCAGUGGGGUACGUACUCAUUUAUUAUUUUACAAUAGCGUAUAUCGAAAAUAUAUCCAUCCAGCCUUGCCCUGGAUGUUUUAAGUUUUCUAGAAACCAGAUUGCUUUCUUGUAAGUACAAAACUACUGCUAGAAAUUACUCUUUGACCCUUUCUGUGAAGCUCUUUUUCUGAAUUAGAGAGUUUGCAUCUUUCUGAAAUAAACAAAACAAGCAAAUGUGCUCAGGAGCUACUUUUUUUUUUUGUGAAAAAAAUGAAAUAUGUAUUUUUGUAUUCAGGAUUGUGUGUCAGUACAUGCAUUUUCUAUAAAAAUUCUGAAAUUUGUAGAAUCUGGAAGUGUUACGAGCUACUGAAAAUGUCCCUCUUAUUUAUGAAUUAAAUAGAACUUAGUGGAGUGCCAAAAGCAAGUAGUUCAGAUAUACUACUGUGUCACCAUUGUUGUGUGCAUCAUGUUUCCAAAGGUGAACAUUUUUCUCACUUUCCUCUAAUGCAGAUAAAUCUGACUUUACAGCUUUGUUUUGGAGAUACCUUGAAUUCUGACACCAUUUAGCAAUAGAACCAAGAUCUUACGUGUGAUUAUUAAGGAUACUUAUCAGCUGGGAUACAAGUUAUUAUUCAGGUACAUUGAAACGUUGAAGGAGCACAAACCAAAAAUUGUGUGGGAUGAACAAAUUGCUGAACACUACUUUGAAUACAAAAA